CUCAAUGAUUUGAAAAUAUAAUAGUAUGUUACAUACUUGGUCAAGUAAGUGAGUCAUGGUUGCACGAGUUUGAAUGUGUGCGAGAGUAUAUAUCUGAGUGUGAAAGUUUGUGGCACGAGUGGAGCCGAAAGCGGAACGAGUGGAAUAAUU